GGGCCCGCACAAGCGGUGGAGUAUGUGGUUUAAUUCGAUGCAACGCGAAGAACCUUACCAGGGUUUGACAUCCUGCGAAUCUCUUGGAAACGAGAGAGUGCCUUCGGGAACGCAGUGACAGGUGGUGCAUGGCUGUCGUCAGCUCGUGUCGUGAGAUGUUGGGUUAAGUCCCGCAACGAGCGCAACCCACGUCUUUAGUUGCCAGCAUUUAGUUGGGCACUCUAGAGAGACUGCCGGUGAUAAACCGGAGGAAGGUGUGGAUGACGUCAAGUCAUCAUGCCCCUUACAUCCUGGGCUACACACGUACUACAAUGCUACGGACAAAGGGCUGCAAGUUCGCGAGGACAAGCAAAUCCCAUAAAGCCGAUCUUAGUCCGGAUCGCAGUCUGCAACUCGACUGCGUGAAGUUGGAAUCGCUAGUAA
rnacentral:rRNA from 1 species